GAGUGUUCAAGCUCUUUUAGACUUUGUCUUGCAGGUCUUCCAGUCUCUAACAGAAGGCCCCC
ensembl:snRNA U7 U7 small nuclear RNA